AAUUUCCACUCCAAGCUGACAUUGCUUUCCUGUUGGAUGGCUCUGGAAGUGUAUCUAGUGAAGAUUUUAGAAGAAUGAAAGAUUUUGUGAAAGGGCUGAUUAGAUCCUUCCUGGGAAAAGAUACACAGUUUGCCAUUACCCAGUAUUCCCGUUCUACAGUAACACAUUAUUACUUUAAUUCUUUU